rnacentral:misc_RNA from 1 species
UACGAAGACUCCAAGCGUUAUCCGAAUUUAUUGGGCGUAAAGCGUACGUAGGGGGCUUGAUGCGUCCGCCGUUAAAUCUCACCGCCCAACGGUGAGGCCGCGGUGGAUACGGUCAGGCUAGAGGAUGCGAGAGGUCUGUGGAACACACGGUGUAGGGGUGAUAUCCGUUGAAAUCGUGCGGAACACCAAAGGCGAAGGCAGCAGACUGGCGUACUCCUGACCCUCAGGUACGAAAGCGUAGGUAGCGAACAGG